GGUACUGGGUCUAUCGAAUAUUCCAACACCCUAUCAGAUAUUAUGGUACUGGGUCUAUCGGAUAUUCUGGCAUCUUGUCGGAUACUCCGGCAAAAGGUUUAUAUCUUGAUAAAAUCAACUGUUGGGUGUAGCUUAUCAACCCCCGAGCUUUGGAAUGAUUAAAUAAUCAAUUCAAGGGUCUAGCGAGCUUUAGUCUUCACGUCAGUCGUCGUCUGAGUAGUUUUGCGACGUCCAGC
rnacentral:lncRNA from 1 species